UACGUAGGGGGCAAGCGUUGUCCGGAAUUAUUGGGCGUAAAGCGCGCGCAGGCGGCUUACUAAGUCUGGUGUGAAAGCCCACGGCUCAACCGUGGAGGGCCAUUGGAAACUGGUAGGCUUGAGUGCAGGAGAGGAGAGCGGAAUUCCCGGUGUAGAGGUGAAAUUCGUAGAUAUCGGGAGGAACACCAGUGGCGAAGGCGGCGAUCUGGGAAGAUACUGACGCUGAGGUGCGAAAGCGUGGGGAGCAAACAGG
rnacentral:rRNA from 1 species